UUGGGCAUAAUGAGGAAAUUAAAUUUUUACAUUUUGUGAGGCCCAAAGGUCGGUGAUCUUCCUUUAAGUCCUUUUCAUUCUGAAUGCCCA